CUGCACACCCGCACGCUGAUGGAGGAGAAUAUAGACAAGGUCUCGUUCCAUUGGUUGGACCACUCUGGGGAGAAUCUCACUCUGUCACCCAGGCUGGAGUGCAGUGACAUGAAAAUAGCUCACUGCAGCCUCAACCUCCUGGCCUCAAGCAAUCCUUCCACCUCAGCCUUCAAAAUAGCUGGGAAUACAGAAGCAGCCGCAAGAUCCUCAACACAAACAUGACAGAAAAAGGC